rnacentral:lncRNA from 15 species
AAACGUACUCAUAGUAAUCGUCGACGCUGUGGUUUAGAUCAGCUCUCCUGAAACCGGAGAGGAUCCAGCGUACGGUCGCUGAGAUUCCCCAUACAAUGGGCUGAGAUUUCCUAAAAAGCCCAAUUAGGGUAUCAAUCAGCUUCUUCAAAAGUUUCACGACGACCGUGUCACCACCAAUCGUUAUACAGUUGAGCAAAUUAUAAGCCAACUUAACGAGGCGGUAUGUUUUGCCAUUCAUCACUAAAGGCAGUAGGCUGUUUAUCAAAAUAGCCAGCAGGUCUUUCAGUAAUACAGCCAGGGCGCUCCCACCGGUGUUUACCUGGCGGGUAUAGUAAGCGUUGAUUCCCCAUCUCAAGUUUACCUGGCGGGUAUAGUAAGCGUUGAUUCCCCAUCUCAAGUUCCCGUUCGUAUUUACGGACUCCAUGGUUCAGCUCACAGAUUCCUUCUGUGUUCUUCUUCUUCCUGCACCAGAGUGCUGGCCGUCACCUUUUAUAUCUUACCCUGCUCUCUGAUUGGACGAGGGCAGUCAGGUAUGAUGUUAUAUAAUCAACAUUAUGAUGAUGUGUCACAGCGAGCUUCAACGUGCCUCCACCCAGCAGGAACACGCGAGUCCUCCUCAGUUCGUCUUCCUUAUUCCUGAUGGUUAACUGAAACAGCACACUAACACUGAUGAUCCUAUCACAAUAAAGCUCACACAGUACUAUGAACCAUUACACCACUAUCACUAUUGGCAUUGGAACUGAUAACCUGUAUCCAGUGUUUCAGUUAACUGAAGGUUAACUUUAGUAAUAAUUCUUAAAAUAUCAGACUAUGAAAUAUGGAUACAGUACAGUUUACAGUUGGUUACUUAGCAGUUUUUCAACCCCGUAAACAAUUUACUUUAUUAGAUGAGUGAUUCCUUCACUUAUGUUGACAUGUUGUACAGGAUAAAGUAUUCCAGGUUUUUGUUUCCAUGGUCUCAGUAAACUAAUGUGUAUAAAGAAUAUAACAGAUGGGAGGUUACAGUAAUCAUCAUACUAUUACUCUGAUUACUUUGGUACAUUUACUGGCUGUUUCUUCAUUAGAAACACCUGCUUGACUAAUGUUGUUAAUAUUAUGUAAUAUAUAAUAUGUUUAACUUCACUGGGCUGUGUAGACUGUAGGUCACUGCUCACUGCUGUACCUGUAAAGACAAGCAUAUAACACAGUGUUGGUUCUCAUAGUUAAGGUAUAAACACUAACAUUAUGUGAUAGAUAGAGGUUAAUAUAUAUAUAUAUAUAUUGUGGUAUAUUAAGUAGCGAUGAUGUGAAGAUGUGUGGAUAGAAGUCCGCUGACACCAUCUUGAUUGUAUAUAAAGGUUUAUUACGAAAAGGUACAGCAUCAUUUCAAGCCCCCGGAGCUUGGAGAGCAUCCUGCCAAAUUAACAACUCUAUCUGUUUGCGUCGAACAUAGGCUUUAUAUAGGUCUAUUGUUUAUUCAAGAAAAUAGUAAAGAAACAUCUGGUUUAGCUAUCAGAUGUACUGAAAUAUUUACGUCAAAGGGUAAAGGUCCAAGUGUCUUACUAACACUGCAUAUGUUGACAAAAAUAUCACUUGAACUUAUAACAAACUGUAACUUAAAUUUAUAGGCCUUCGGAUACCACAUAUUUCCCCCCUUCGAGGCUGCUAAAGUCUCGAAAAACAGAAGAGUAAAACAUACAUGUUUAAACACUAAAAAUAACAAUUACUCCUACACAUGCUUCUUGCAGCAUAACCUUAACAAUACAACAACUUUAUGGAGUGUGAGAGAGAAAAACCUGUCUGGCAGCUUUCUUUCCAGAAGUAUCCAUCAAACAAUCUAGACAGGAAAAUUCUCUCACAGCCCCUCUGCCUCAGACGACCACACAUAGUACUCCAGAACAAUUGAAAACAGGAAUCUAAACCGCUAAUCAAUAUAAAUAAAUAAAUGAUAAAGUGAUCACUGUAGGACUGUAUCUUCCCCCAUGAGCGUUGAGGACCCCUAGUGGAGGCCCGACCCCCAGGUUGAGAACCACAAAUGUAGUGCAGGAUAUACUCAGGUAUACCCACUUAUUUUUCACUCAGUAUCAACUUCAAAAAGUAUAAUAUAGAACUAUAAAACACACUAAUGCUGAGACAUACAAUAUAUUGGGGAGGCUGUAUAAGAAAUGUGCUUUACAUUCACUUAACAUGCUUUAAACAUUCAGGGAACUGCAUGUUUUUGUCUUUGGAAGACCAGUUUUCUCCUGAAAUCUUGGCUCAUUAAACUGUCUGUUGCUUAUGAGAGGAGCUGAGUGGUGUUAAUGAAGCUUCCCUGAACUCCACCUGCUGCUGUCAACACUAUUUGCUCAAUAUUGUUGUUAUUAUUAUUAUUAUUAUUAUAUUGUUAAUAAUGACUGUAAGUUGAGGGAUGAAGUCACCUCUCAGCCUCCAAACUCCGCCCACUACUACCUGG